GUGAGGAAUUUUGCGCAAUAGGGGAAACCCUGACGCAGCAACGCCGCGUGAGUGAUGAAGGCCUUCGGGUUGUAAAGCUCUGUCAAGUGGGAAAAAUAACUUCCGGUAAAUAGCCGGAAGUGAUGAUGGUACCGCUGGAGGAAGCACCGGCUAACUCCGUGCCAGCAGCCGCGGUAAUACGGAGGGUGCAAGCGUUGUUCGGAAUUAUUGGGCGUAAAGAGCGUGUAGGCGGUUUGGUAAGUCAGAUGUGAAAGCCCUGGGCUUAACCCAGGAAGUGCAUUUGAAACUGCCAUGCUCGAGUAUGGGAGAGGAGAGUGGAAUUCCCAGUGUAGAGGUGAAAUUCGUAGAUAUUGGGAGGAACACCCGUGGCGAAGGCGACUCUCUGGACCAAUACUGACGCUGAGACGCGAAAGCGUGGGGAGCAAACAGGAUUAGAUACCCCUGUAGUCC
rnacentral:rRNA from 1 species